CCUACGGGAGGCAGCAGUGGGGAAUAUUGGACAAUGGGCGAAAGCCUGAUCCGGCAAUGCCGCGUGAGUGAUGAAGGCCUUAGGGUCGUAAAGCUCUUUUACCAGGGAUGAUAAUGACAGUACCUGGAGAAUAAGCUCCGGCUAACUCCGUGCCAGCAGCCGCGGUAAUACGGAGGGGGCUAGCGUUGUUCGGAAUUACUGGGCGUAAAGCGUGCGUAGGCGGUUAUUCAAGUCAGAGGUGAAAGCCCGGGGCUCAACCCCGGAACGGCCUUUGAAACUAGAUAACUAGAAUCUUGGAGAGGUCAGUGGAAUUCCGAGUGUAGAGGUGAAAUUCGUAGAUAUUCGGAAGAACACCAGUGGCGAAGGCGACUGACUGGACAAGUAUUGACGCUGAGGUACGAAAGCGUGGGGAGCAAACAGGAUUAGAUACCCUGGUAGUCCACGCCGUAAACGAUGAUAACUAGCUGUCCGGACACUUGGUGUUUGGGUGGCGCAGCUAACGCAUUAAGUUAUCCGCCUGGGGAGUACGGUCGCAAGNUUAAAACUCAAAGGAAUUGACGG
rnacentral:rRNA from 1 species